AAUUAAAGGAAUUGACGGGACCCGCACAAGCGGUGGAUGAUGUGGAUUAAUUCGAUGCAACGCGAAAAACCUUACCUACCCUUGACAUGUACGGAACCCCUGCUGAGAGGUGGGGGUGCUCGAAAGAGAGCCGUAACACAGGUGCUGCAUGGCUGUCGUCAGCUCGUGUCGUGAGAUGUUGGGUUAAGUCCCGCAACGAGCGCAACCCUUGUCAUUAGUUGCUACGCAAGAGCACUCUAAUGAGACUGCCGGUGACAAACCGGAGGAAGGUGGGGAUGACGUCAAGUCCUCAUGGCCCUUAUAGGUGGGGCUACACACGUCAUACAAUGGCCGGUACAAAGGGCUGCCAACCCGCGAGGGGGAGCUAAUCCCAUAAAACCGGUCGUAGUCCGGAUCGUAGUCUGCAACUCGACUACGUGAAGUCGGAAUCGCUAGUAAUCGUGGAUCAGAAUGUCACGGUGAAUACGUUCCCGGGUCUU
rnacentral:rRNA from 1 species